rnacentral:rRNA from 1 species
CCUACGGGUGGCAGCAGUAGGGAAUAUUGCUCAAUGGGGGCAACCCUGAAGCAGCAACGCCGCGUGGAGGAUGAAGGUUUUCGGGUUGUAAACUCCUUUUGUUAGAGAAGAUAAUGACGGUAUCUAACGCAUAAGCACCGGCUAACUACGUGCCAGCAGCCGCGGUAAUACGGAGGAUGCGAGCGUUAUCCGGAUUUAUGGGGUUUAAAGGGUGCGCAGGCGGAAGAUCAAGUCAGCGGUAAAAUUGAGAGGCUCAACCUCUUCGAGCCGUUGAAACUGGUUUUCUUGAGUGAGCGAGAAGUAUGCGGAAUGCGUGGUGUAGCGGUGAAAUGCAUAGAUAUCACGCAGAACUCCGAUUGCGAAGGCAGCAUACCGGCGCUCAACUGACGCUCAUGCACGAAAGUGUGGGUAUCGAACAGGAUUAGAUACCCGUGUAGUC